rnacentral:rRNA from 1 species
UACGUAGGCAGCAAGCGUUGUUCGGAGUUACUGGGCGUAAAGGGUGUGUAGGCGGUUGGAUAAGUGUGGUGUGAAAUCUCCCGGCUCAACUGGGAGGGUGCGCUACAAACUGUCUGACUAGAGUGCGGGAUGGGAAAGUGGAAUUCCUGGUGUAGCGGUGAAAUGCGUAGAUAUCGGGAGGAACACCGGUGGUGUAGACGGCUUUCUGGACCGUAACUGACGCUGAUACACGAAAGCGUGGGUAGCAAACAGG